UACGAAGGGGGCGAGCGUUGUUCGGAAUCACUGGGCGUAAAGGGCGCGUAGGCGGCCCUCCUUGUCGCGUGUGAAAGCCCCGGGCUCAACCUGGGAACGGCGCGCGAGACGGGGGGGGCUGGAGUUCGGGAGAGGAGCGUGGAAUUCCCAGUGUAGAGGUGAAAUUCGUAGAUAUUCGCAAGAACACCAGUGGCGAAGGCGGCUCACUGGCCCGGUACUGACGCUGAGGUGCGAAAGCGUGGGGAGCAAACAGG
rnacentral:rRNA from 1 species